UCUCUCUCUCUCUCUCUCUCUCUCUCUCUCUGCCCCUCCCCCUCCUCUAUCAAAAUAAAUAAGUAAACUUAAAAAAAUAAUGAUGAGCAUAAAGGAUAUUCUGAACUAUCUGUACAAUUGCAUUGUCAUAUGUGACAAAAUCAAAGUAUUAUUAUUAGUAUAAAGUAUGGUUAUUAGUAUUUAGUAUAAAGUCAAAGUACUGUAUUAGUGACAAGGUCAAAGGUAAUGUUCUUACUACUGUAGUGUGUUGCUUGCAUUUAUAAUAGAAAAAUAUACUAAUUUUCAGUUACAGGUUAAAGAAAAUAAAGAUGUACUUUUUUUCUACCCAUGUGCAUACCUCCAUAGGAGGGUGUGAAAAGGUGUCCAUGGACCCCCAAGGUAAGAACGCCUUACAACAGCCACUCUCAUACCUAACUCUGGAGUCAUAAUUUUAUGUUUAUUUCCUUAAGUGGGGCCUCCCCAGUUAUAUCAGCUUUAGGCCCUAUAACACCUGGAUCUUCAAAAUAAACCCGGGCAAUGACCACUUCUCAUCAUCUUCACAGGGAACACAGGGCCAAGCCACCGCCAUUUUUCAUCUGCCACUGUCCGCAGGCUGGCUAACUGCUCUGCCCAGGACCCGGUCUAUUCUCCCUUCACCCGCAGGCGGGUCUCUGCUCUCCUAUCAGCAAGGAAGACCUUUCCUAACCAACCACCUAACAGAGCAACCCUCCUGGAUACGCGCCAGAUCUUCUGGGGACAUUCAAUGGACACACAGACUUUUUGGAGGGACUUGUGAUGUGGACCCCUGCGGACCAUCCUAGGGAAAAAUCAAAGACCCACCGUUCAGAACCACACCCACAGCCCUAGAGAGGAGGACAGAUUUCUGUCUGCCGGAGACGGCUGGGCGCCCCCUCGGAAGUGCGGCAGCCACAGACCCACGACCCGCCGGCCCUCCCCCGCCUCCGUCCGCUCCCGGGCGUCCGAGA